rnacentral:rRNA from 1 species
UCCGUAGGUGGAUCAAUCAGUCAGAGGUGAAAUCCUGCAGCUUAACUGUGGAACUGCCUUUGAUACUGUUGAUCUUGAGUCAUUAUGAAGUGGUUAGAAUGUGUAGUGUAGCGGUGAAAUGCAUAGAUAUUACACAGAAUACCGAUUGCGAAGGCAGAUCACUAAUAAUGUACUGACACUGAGGGACGAAAGCGUGGGGAGCGAACAGGAUUAGAUACCCUGGUAGUCC